UUGGCGCUUGUGGGCGAACUCUGAGUUUGCUGAGCAGUGACCCUUGUCACGCCGCUCUUCCCCGCACCCUGAGGGCUAGUCGGGCACCUGGCACUGACCCCGCACGGAACGGCUGUUCCUCUGCUCCGCCGCCGCCGCCGCGCCUGCAGCGGCGGCUGCGGCUGAAGGGGGCUUCACUCCUACCGCCUCCCCCUCCUGGAGGUCUUUGGUCACGUCUGCAAGCAGAACUCCAGGUUAGGGAGCCAGAGGCUUCCGUUCCGCGCGUCUCCGGCUACGGAAAACUGGAGGAGCUUCUCCUGCCACCCGCAGACUCCCGAGGCUGCUCCUGCCACUCUGCCCUCCCAAGGCGGGGGGAAUCGGGGAGCCGCUGCUCUCCGCCCCCGGACCCGGGUGGAGCCCCUUCACUUUUUCACGGAGAAGCGCGCGCGUCCCGGGAGCCGCACCACUGCGCAGCUCCAGGCGCGGGGCCUGGUGGCCCGGCCUGCGGAGCCCCUGAGAGCAGAGGCUACCAGGCUAGCCUCGAAGGUCCAGACCGUAGAGGAGGCAGCGGCCUGAGCUUCUGGGGACAACGCAGCUGCCAUGGCCUUGGGCACCCCGGAGCCACCUCCCAAGCCCAAGUCGCGUCUCGCUCUUUGAAUUAAGGAGCUAAGUUCCGGGCGAGGCACGUGAGCCACGCGGGAAGCGCUACCGCGGUGUUGGACCAGGCCCAGUGGCGGCGGGAUGAAGCGGUCUUGGCCACUCGCGGCUCCCGGGCCGGGCGGCAGGUGGGAGCGCUCCCUGGUUCUCAGACGCGAGGGCAGCCGGCUCAGGCCCAAGAGCCUGGUCGGGAGGCGGCCUAGGCCCGGCCGCCCUUCCUACUUCAGGGAGGAGGAGGGAGAGAGGAAAUUCAUUUAGCGUGCUGGGUGGGCGGCUCAGAUGUCGCACUCGCUGUCGCUGGACGUGAUGGAGAUGGCCGAAGUGGCUGCCUUGCUGGAUAGGCUGGCGGCCGGGCUGGCGGCAGUGCCCAGCACCUCGUGCGUGACCUCUUCCUCGGCCCUUAGCGCCCGGCCGGAGCCCUGCGACAGGACCUGCUGCUGAAGCCUACGGGGAAGGAAAGGAAACGAGUCACUGUGUGUAACAUAGCCGCCGGUACCCCCGUCCCCCGGUCCACGUCCCUUAAGCCCAGCAGUCAGCGACUCUCCCUCAGACCCGGGCAUUUAAAGCGGUCUUGGUUUGGUGACUGGAACCAGCUGCUGGAGCGACCCCCAGGCACCGAGAACCAAAAAGAAAGGGUGGGGAAUCAAAAGCCCGGAAGGAAUCCCCGACCCAGGAUCCCAGAACGCAGUGGGCUCAAAACCGAAGACCUCAAUCCCAUCCCAAUUCCUGCGAAAUCCAAGUCUCCAGGCCUUGGAUCUUCACAGUUCACUCAAAAAAAAAAAAAAUAGCAGAGAGGAAGAAAAAAGCCCUGCAACCAUUUACAUCAUUUCUGUGAGUUUGCUGCCGCCUCAACGGAGAGACUUUCUUUUCUAAGAGCUUAUUUUCAUGAAAUGCGACAGGCAGAGGCAAAAUGGAGAGGGUGAUGAAGAUAAUGUCGAAGCACAAACCCUCUCUAGCUUGAGAAGACUUCCGAAUCCGCCUCAAGGACAACUUUUAGUGAGAAACAUCGCAAACGAGGGCCAACAAUGCACGGUGUAGAAAACCCGGCAGGCGGGAAGGGGUGAAGAGGGACCCCAGGAGGGUUGCGUUCCCGGCACCCCUGGCCAAGGAAGGAAAGCACCCCCUUGCUCCAGUUUGCAGAGGUUUCCGAAUUUUCCCUCUCGGGGUGUCUCCCCUAUGGGCUCUCCCUAGCCCAAUAGCUUCUUGAUUGCCCUCCGCGAGCAGAAGCAGCCGCGGGUCCGCGGGACCUUACAGCCCUCGAGCGCAGAGGGGACCCCCAACCUCGGCUCCUAGCCGCCAGAGGUGAGACGUUGUCGGUGCCCCAGGGGACCGCGCCUCCGCACGCCUUUUUGCUGCACAAUUUGAAAGUGGUCAAUUCCGGCUUCUUACCCUAAGUAAGUCGUGUAAUUUUCCGAGUCUAGGUGCCCUAUGCAAGAAAUGGGAAUGUUUAUUUCCAGAUGUCCCCUUUGGCUUCUGCGUGUCUGGGGCUCUCCGGUGACUGAGACCAAAAGCCUAGGUUGGCCUUGGUGGAAUCGCGGGAAAAGGGCGCUGGCUGCUGCCGCCGCCGAGUCCGAACCCCGCCGGACGCUGUGUCUGGGCGCCGGGGCGGGCGGGUUCUGAGAGUUGUCUAGAGGCCUGAGUCUACUGUCAGGAUAUCCUAUCUUCACCAUCGCAGGGGGCUUGGCUUAAUUUUAUCAACUCAAGGGAAAUAAACUUCUCCAAGGCACACUGAGGUAGCACAUUCAUUCAUCAGCUUCACUCUGGGAAGGGACAAAGGGAAGAAAUUUGUGAGCCCCCGUCCCUGAGAAUGAGGAGCUUCGAGGAUUUCCUUAGAGAUAAUUCCACUGUGAAGAAGAUGGCCCCCCACCCCACGGCUGAAGCGCACUUUUCCGGGUUUGCCAGGCGAAGGCUGGAGUUUUUCUUAAUUUUACGGAGGGAUAGAUUUUUACCAAUUUUGGAACGUUGCGCCAACCUGGCAGACAACUCGCUACACCCGACUUCAUUUUUCUUAUGUGUUUGACCAGGUAACCUGGAAAGCGCAGCGGCAGCCUUUGGCCUCGGCCCAUCUGGGCAGGUUUGCAACUUUCUGUGGUUGGUUUGCAGCUACUAGUAGAUUUGGGAGGCCUUGGAUUCUCACUGGGAAUACCUAGAUGGCUAUUCUUUCUGCAAACUCAAGACUUUUAUUUUAUGGAGAAAAAGCGGGUAGAAGACAAUGCCCUCCCAGGAAAAAUUGUGUCUAAUUGUUCAUUGCAGAGGCACCAGGGCAAAGUGCCUCCAGGGAGUUGUGAGGUUCAUACCAGAAAUCUUGAGUUCAGUCUAGGACUUCUUGCACAUAUCAAUCUCUCCCUUCGUUUUGCCCCUUCUGAUUUUGCUCUCUAGAGUAGAGGGACACUUGGAGCCCAGGUUACACUCUGCUGAAAGAUUUGCCAGUGGAGAGCACUUUGUAGAGGUCAAUACAUUCUUAUGUCUAGUUUCCAGUCUCUGGUCUUGUUUUGUCUUUCUUUUCUUUGACUUCUCCUAAAUCAAGCCAUAAAAUAAAUGAUGUGUCUUUGUUUUCUUUCCUAUACAAUUCCCAUAGUCAGGGAUUUUAAAGAUAUCGUAAUUGAAUGCAUCUGAACUCCUUGACAAAGACGUUUGUGCUGCAUGUGAGAGUCACAGACUGGAAGACAAUGAGGUCCCAGCCUUUUGUGUAUGUCCAUUUUGACUUUGGGGGGAGAGAUCUUUGUUUUCGUUUCCUGGGCCUCAAAGCCAUGUGUUGUGAAUAGGUGAGAAUAAUGUAAAAAAAAAAAAAUCCAAGAUUAGAAAGGUGUUUUACUGCCUUUGAAAUUACAGUAUUAAAAUUUCACACUCUCAUUUAUUCAUGAAUUUAGAAUUCUGAUUUUUAGAUGACACUGUAUAAAUAUAGAUAUAUAUUUGUUUAUGAAUUUGGUGGUCCAGCUCUUCAGAUUAUGAAAUUAAUUCAAUAUCCUAGUUUUAAAGUACCAACUAUCCUAAUAAGUUCCCAAGAUAGAUUGCUGUCUUUCAUGCAUUCUUCCCCUGACUGUAUGUAUGCACCUUGUAACAAAGAACAGAGAUGCCUCUUUGAGAAAUGUUUUGUAGAUUUCUUGGUGCUGUAAAAUUAACUGGCAAAAAAGUAUUACAAUCAAAAUAUUGAUCUAAUUUUAAUAGAUUAGAUAUUUUUGUUAUUAUUUGCAAAAUUAUUUACCAUCUAUUUUUUAAAUGAUGCAAAAUUGCUUGUGUUGUUAAUUGGAGGAAAUGUUUAUAAGUUUAAAUGUGAGGAAAUGUACCAUUUGAAAGUAUUGGUUAAUUAGCAGUAAUGGUUUUUUAAAAUGUUAGGCUGACUAUGUAACUUUGUUUUGACCUCCAGUUUGUGGCUGCUUCUAGGCAUUUGGAUGAUAAUCUGUAUUUAAGCCAAAGACUAUAUUGCAAAUUAUACCCCUUAUUUAAACUAUGGUUUUAAAUUCACUUUUCUCUCUCUCUUCUGCUUCUGUGAGGGUAAGUCUAAAUCUUCAGAGGGCUAACCACACCACAGCAUAGCUUGCUUAGGGCUAUGUAUCAAUGGGUUCUUAUGUGAAGGAUUAACUCUUAAAAAUGUAACCAGCAUGUCAUUUAUAAACACUUUAUUAUCAGUAAUGAAACAUUAGUUGAAUGACUGAAAGAAUAAUUAAUUCAUAAUUCUCUACUAGAACCUUGUUUUUUUCCACUAGCAGGUUAUUUUUGACCAUUUUCAAAUCUAAGAUCAAAGUAUCUUUCUAAAAUACACCUAGACACCUUAUAAUUCAAUGACGUGAAAGAGUGUAAAUUUGUUUAUGUCUUCUGGCAUGAGUCAAACAUUAUUCACAUUCGAUUUUAUGUAUUGUAUGUCAUAUAUAUGCAUUAAUUACGUGUAUUAUAUGUGUAAUAAAUGAUCAUUUCCUUCCAAGUAGUGUAAAAUCAAAUAGAAACAUUAGCCUCCAAUAAAUACCUUAAAUUCUGCAUUAAUCCAGUUCAUUAACAGAAAAUGCUUUUAAAGAAUUAUAUUAAAAAUAUAAUUUUCAUGACAUCUUAC